CUCUCUUUCUCACACAUACACACACACACACACUUCAGUCUUCCACUUAUUAAAGCGGUUAAUUAAUGCUUUGCCCAUACCCAAGUCUUAAGCUCAACAACGAAACUGCUAGAUGUUCCUAUUCCUGCAAGGAUUCAAUCCCAUAAUUCCAGCUGUGCAAAAGAAAAGCAUUCAACAGGUUUAAAGGUCAUAAGAGCAGCCUGCUGUCAUUUAAAUGCUUGUCGGUUGCAGUGUCCCACCCUUUCUUGAAUACACUCAUGCACAUUUACGUACGCACAUCCGUGCUGCAGGCUGUUUGCUUCCUAAACGUCAGACAAACACAGUUUGUCAAGAGGCAAAAGUAAAUACAGGGUCCUUCAUGAGGUGAAUGCACAGAUGGGUGAACGGGUAACAGCGUGAAUGGUGUAAC